UUUUCCAGCACCACCACUGUCAAUGGCUUCUCUUGCAGCAUCUACCGCAGCUGCAUCCAUCGGAGUAUCGGAAAUGCUGGGGAACUUCUCUGUGGCGUCAAGGCCAGCUCCGUCAGCAUCUAGUCCUGUCACUUUCAAGACAGUUGCACUCUUUGGCAAGAAGAAGGCUGCACCUCCACCAAAGAAGGCUGUUGCUGUCACUCCGGCUAGCGAUGAGCUUGCCAAGUGGUAUGGUAAGUGUCGACGACUUUAAACUAUAUCGCUCAGGCAAAGGGGUACCACUCUGUUACAAUGCUAGAGAUUUCGUAAUUUAUCUUUUAAAUCUUUUUGCGAUUAGCUAAGCGAUAGACCAUGUGCUGUCAGGACCCGAGAGAAGAAUUUUCUUACCCCAAGGCCUAUUGGACAGAUCUGAAGUUCCUGAGUACUUGACAGGAGAAGUUCCUGGAGAGUAAGUUGAGUAGUGAGAUCUUUGCCUUAUAUUUCAUACACAUUCAUGGUUACUGAUUUACUUAAUGCAGCUAUGGUUACGAUCCGUUUGGUCUGAGCAAGAAACCAGAAGACUUUGCCAAGUAAGUUUCCAUCUGAAUAUGGAGUUUGAAUCCAAUGGCAAGACUAAUACAAGGAACUUAAGAAUAACAUCAUACGCUAUCUAACAAUGCAGAUACCAGGGUUACGAGUUGAUCCAUGCCCGAUGGGCGAUGUUGGGAGCUGCAGGCUUCAUAAUCCCUGAGGCAUUCAACAAAUAUGGAGCUAAUUGUGGACCUGAAGCUGUUUGGUUCAAAGUAAUUCACCACUUUUAUUACAAUAUGCAUGUCUCUAGAAUCAUACAAAGAACUGGUAUAUUUUAACUGCAUAAUUUCAAGUAUUCACAAACUCAUGCAUGGAAGAAACGAUGCUAGAGAUGAAUCACAGCUUUUUAAGAUCAGAAUUCUCAACUGUGAGAUUGCGUUCAUAUAUGCAGACUGGAGCCCUACUCCUUGAUGGGAACACGCUGAAUUACUUUGGAAAGAACAUUCCUAUAAAUCUUGUUCUUGCUGUCGUUGCUGAGGUUGUUCUUCUUGGCGGGGCAGAGUACUACAGAAUUACCAAUGGUUUGGUAAGCACAAAACUUACGCUUGUUCCUUUGCAUAAGAGAGCUUUAGAAUGAGUUAGUUUAGUUUGAUGGAUAGUAAGAUUCCUUUAUUAACUGUCAGGAUUUGGAGGACAAACUGCACCCAGGCGGUCCAUUUGAUCCGUUGGGGCUAGCAGAUGAUCCAGACCAGGCCGCUUUGCUCAAGGUGAAGGAGAUUAAGAAUGGAAGACUAGCAAUGUUUGCGAUGCUUGGCUUCUUUAUACAAGCUUAUGUCACCGGAGAGGGUCCUGUGGAGAACCUUUCUGCUCAUUUGAGUGAUCCUUUUGGUAACAACUUGCUCAGUGUUAUUGGGGGAGCUGCAGAACGAGUUCCAACUCUUUAAGUUCUCGCUCAUCCAUCUCUUGCUGGGUGAAUUUGGAGGGCAGUUUACCUAAACUACUGCAACUAUGCUACUACUUUAUAGAGAUAUAAUAUAAAUCUUCGAUAGUCAUUUGGUUCCAAAUUUGCAAAGCUUUAAGAGAGAUUCUGAUCUUGGUUCAU
rnacentral:lncRNA from 1 species